GAUGAACGCUGGCGGCGUGCCUAAUACAUGCAAGUCGAGCGAACAGAUGAGGAGCUUGCUCCUCUGACGUUAGCGGCGGACGGGAGAGUAACACGUGGAUAACCUACCUAUAAGACUGGGAUAACUUCGGGAACCCGGAGCUAAUACCGGAUAAUAUAUUGAACCGCAUGGUUCAAUAGUGAAAUACGGCUUUGCUGUCACUUAUAGAUGGAUCCGUGUCGCAUUAGCUAGUUGGUAAGGUAACGGCCUACCAAGGCGACGAAGCGUAGCCGACCUGAGAGGGUGAUCGGCCACACUGGAACUGAGACACGGCCCAGACUCCUACGGGAGGCAGCAGUAGGGAAUCUUCGGCAAUGGGCGAAAGCCUGACGCAGCAACGCCGCGUGAGUGAAGAAGGCCUUCGGAUUGUAAAACUCUGUUAUUAGGGAAGAACAAAUGUGUAAGAAACUCUGCAGGUCUUGACGGUACCUAAACAGAAAGCAACGGCUAACUACGUG
rnacentral:rRNA from 1 species